CUACGGGAGGCAGCAGUGAGGAAUAUUGGUCAAUGGACGAGAGUCUGAACCAGCCAAGUAGCGUGCAGGAUGACGGCCCUAUGGGUUGUAAACUGCUUUUAUAAGGGAAUAAAGUGAGUCUCGUGAGACUUUUUGCAUGUACCUUAUGAAUAAGGACCGGCUAAUUCCGUGCCAGCAGCC
rnacentral:rRNA from 1 species